AGUGAACGCUGGCGGUAGGCCUAACACAUGCAAGUCGAACGGCAGCACAGUAAGAGCUUGCUCUUACGGGUGGCGAGUGGCGGACGGGUGAGGAAUACAUCGGAAUCUACUUUUUCGUGGGGGAUAACGUAGGGAAACUUACGCUAAUACCGCAUACGACCUACGGGUGAAAGCAGGGGAUCUUUGGACCUUGCGCGAUUGAAUGAGCCGAUGUCGGAUUAGCUAGUUGGCGGGGUAAAGGCCCACCAAGGCGACGAUCCGUAGCUGGUCUGAGAGGAUGAUCAGCCACACUGGAACUGAGACACGGUCCCGACUCCUACGGGAGGCAGCAGUGGGGAAUAUUGGACACUGGGCGCAAGCCUGAUCCAGCCAUACCGCGUGGGUGAAGAAGGCCUUCGGGUUGUAAAGCCCUUUUGUUGGGAAAGAAAAGCAGCAGGUUAAUACCCCGCUGUUCUGACGGUACCCAAAGAAUAAGCACCGGCUAACUUCGUG
rnacentral:rRNA from 1 species